AGGACGAACGCUGGCGGCGUGCUUAACACAUGCAAGUCGAGCGGAAAGGCCCUUCGGGGUACUCGAGCGGCGAACGGGUGAGUAACACGUGAGCAACCUGCCCUUAGCUCCGGGAUAGCUCCGGGAAACCGGAAUUAAUACCGGAUACAACCACGGCCGACAUCUGCUGUGGUGGAAAGGAUUCCGGCUAAGGAUGGGCUCGCGGCCUAUCAGCUAGUUGGUGGAGUAACGGCCCACCAAGGCGACGACGGGUAGCCGGCCUGAGAGGGCGACCGGCCACACUGGGACUGAGACACGGCCCAGACUCCUACGGGAGGCAGCAGUGGGGAAUAUUGCGCAAUGGGCGAAAGCCUGACGCAGCGACGCCGCGUGGGGGAUGAAGGCCUUCGGGUUGUAAAGCUCUUUUGUGCGGGAAGAUAAUGACGGUACCGCAAGAAUAAGCCCGGCUAACUUCGCGCCAGCAGCCGC
rnacentral:rRNA from 1 species